rnacentral:lncRNA from 1 species
GAAAAACUUAAUUGCAUUUCCGGGCAGCUAUAUAAACCACUGGGGAACCAUAGUUCGGCGCGGCCUGUGUGUUCACCCGGAGUCGUUUCUCACACGGACACCAACACGGAUUUAGCACGCAGACGAACGUCCGCUGUUUUAAUCCCUUCCGAGCCGGGUCGUCGUUCAGUAGCAUGCAAAAUAUGUUAACCAUUAUCUCUAACGCACUUUGUAGGAUCACUGGCCGACAUGCGGUGAGUGGGUUUGGGGUUAACGUCGAGCUGGGGUUCGUUUCCGGGCUGAUGCUAACAGUUAGCUAGCCGGGUUUGGUUUGGUUUGGCGCUGACCUUGUUAGCCGCUAGCAUGUUAGCCGCAGCGGCUAGUUUGACUCUUGCUUUGCCGUUUGCAUGUGGUGGUCAGAUAUUUAAUAUGUAUAAUGUGAGCUUGCUUAUUGUUUAGUAACUAAUGGUGGUUCAUGAAGGGCAUGUACAAACUGGGGAGAUACCGACUCGUUUCUCUUUUUCUCUUCUGUUAAUCUGCAUUAAUCUGAGAUUAAUUGAUUGUGGUGGUUUUCCUUCCUCGAGCGGCUUUUUACUGAUUUGGAUGCACUGAUGUGAUCUAUAAUGACCUAUAUCUUAAAAUGUGAACAUAUAUGAAUAUAAGUUAACACGAGGAGAGCCUCAGUGUUUUGUAUGUGCGGAAGUUAUUUUAUCAAAAUAUAACUAAUUACUUUGUAUUUGUGGGAAAAGUAUUUAGAUAUCUUACUACACAUUGCAGAAAUACAGUAACUUCAAUCUUACAGACAUACAAUAAAUGGUAAUAGUGAAUUACUUUAAGUUUAAAAACCUACUUAUUUUGCUUUUGCACUAAAACCUACUCAAUUAAAACUGAACAUGAAUUGGCCGACACAUGUAACUGGAAGAUUGUGGGAUCAGUUGAAACACAUCAGUGCAUCCUUAUUAAUCCAUGUGCUUAAUCAACAGCAGAAGCCAUUGUGGGACCAGCUUGUGGUGGUUCAGCAGCAGCAGCAUGUUGUGGUGGUUCAGCAGCAGCAGCAUGUUGUGGUGGUUCAGCAGCAGCAGCAUGUUGUGGUGGUUCAGCAGCAGCAGGGAUCCUACAGUCUUUGGAAUGAACACAAACAUUAUGCACACGUGCACAGAAAGGGAACAGUUCUGUUAUUUAACUUUGGUUGACCCUAAAACAAAUGUGACUGUAGGAACCCUGUUGUUUUACGGCUUUGUGUUGAGAAAGCAGAACUCCUUCUUUCGCUCCUCCGGCCUCUUCAUUGAUUUACACACACACACACACACACACUCGCAUAACAAUCCCAAUUUAUUUCUUGCUUUUCUCCUCCACCCCCCCUCCUCCCUCCCCCCUCGCCUGAACCCUAGGGAGCCCAAACAGUGUCCGAGGGUGCCAGAGUUGUGGUUUCCCGCUCUUUUGCUGACUGUCACCUCUCAGGCGACCUUUGACAUCAAGGUGGGUCGAAACGAAAACACUUUGUUACCUUUAAUGCCACAUUUAUUCUGUCGUCGUAUUUAUCUGCGAUUUGUUAUUUAAAUGUGUGCCUCCCCAGAAAAAUAAACCUACCAAAGGGACAACAUCGAUAGGGUUAGUUAGCGGCGUCGUUUUUGUCAAUUAUGCACCAAAGCUAUGGAACACUUUACCUGCAGACAUUAGGGAGGCAAGCUCGCUCAGUAUCUUCACAAGUAAACUGAAGACAUAUCUCUUUACUUUAGCCUUUUAAUGGUGAUAUUUUAUAUCUCUUUACUUUAGCCUUUUAAUAGUGAUAUUUUAUAUCUCUUUACUUUAGCCUUUUAAUGGUGAUAUUUUAUAUCUCUUUACUUUAGCCUUUUAAUAGUGAUAUUUUAUAUCUCUUUACUUUAGCCUUUUAAUAGUGAUAUUUUAUAUCUCUUUACUUUAGCCUUUUAAUAGUGAUAUUUUAUAUCUCUUUACUUUAGCCUUUUAAUAGUGAUAUUUUAUAUCUCUUUACUUU